ACACUCGGAGACUCAAAGCCUCCUGAACUCCAGGGUCCAGUGACUUCGGCAGAGCUCCACCCAUGGCAUAUAAGAAAUACUACUUCGAUGUUGACAAGUACGGUGUGGACUUUUAUGAAGAAGAAGUAGCAUCUGAAAUCCAGCAACGGAGGUUAGCAACAACAGAUGAUAGCCACACUGAAGAAGUUGUAGGAAUCCUGAAGGGACUGAGCUACAUAAACGCUGUGUUGGACCACAACUACAACCGUCCAAUGAAGAGCGACACCUGUAGGAAACCCCUUGAGCCUGCACAAGAAGAGGAGGAGGAGGAGCCUGUUUUUCGAAAGCCAACCAAGUAUUGCCGAAAGCAGUACAAGUUCACUCCUGAACAACUACUUGAACUAGACAGAAUUUUUGAAGAAACUCAAUGCCCCGAUACACUCCAAAGGAAAGAGAUUGCAAAGCUCAUGAAUGUAGAGGAAUGCACUGUGAAGAUUUGGUUCUGCAAUCAAAGAGCCAAACUUAGGAAAAAUCAGAAGGCAGCACCGUGCAACAAAGCCCUACCUAAUAAACAGAGCUGCUUUCCCCGAAAGGUUUUGAAAGAAACCAAGAACGUUGUUGUUCUUCAGGAGCCGCUUGCGGAUGAGUUUUUCUGCUGUCGGCCACAUGUUAGCCACCCAAAUUGGCGGUGACAACACUAUCACUUUAUGUAAAUUAGCAAUAAAGAGGAGAAAUCUCUUUUUGCUUCAA